UAGGGAAUCUUCGGCAAUGGGGGCAACCCUGACCGAGCAACGCCGCGUGAGUGAAGAAGGUUUUCGGAUCGUAAAGCUCUGUUGUAAGUCAAGAACGAGUGUGAGAGUGGAAAGUUCACACUGUGACGGUAGCUUACCAGAAAGGGACGGCCAACUACGUGCCAGCAGCCGCGGUAAUACGUAGGUCCCGAGCGUUGUCCGGAUUUAUUGGGCGUAAAGCGAGCGCAGGCGGUUUGAUAAGUCUGAAGUUAAAGGCUGUGGCUCAACCAUAGUUCGCUUUGGAAACUGUCAAACUUGAGUGCAGAAGGGGAGAGUGGAAUUCCAUGUGUAGCGGUGAAAUGCGUAGAUAUAUGGAGGAACACCGGUGGCGAAAGCGGCUCUCUGGUCUGUAACUGACGCUGAGGCUCGAAAGCGUGGGGAGCGAACAGGAUUAGAUACCCUGGUAGUCCACGCCGUAAACGAUGAGUGCUAGGUGUUGGAUCCUUUCCGGGAUUCAGUGCCGCAGCUAACGCAUUAAGCACUCCGCCUGGGGAGUACGACCGCAAGGUUG
rnacentral:rRNA from 1 species